GAAUAUGAAGUGAUAUCACAAUUAGUUUCGACCUAAUCUUAGGUAAAUUUACCCUU
rnacentral:tRNA from 1 species